rnacentral:rRNA from 1 species
GACAGAGGGUGCAAGCGUUAUUCGGAAUCAUUGGGCGUAAAGGGCGCGUAGGCGGCUUGGUAAGUCGGAUGUGAAAUCCCAGAGCUUAACUUUGGACGUGCAUCCGAAACUGCUGAACUAGAGUCUCGGAGAGGGUGGUAGAAUUCCCAGUGUAGAGGUAAAAUUCGUAGAUAUUGGGAGGAAUACCGGUGGCGAAGGCGACCACCUGGACGAAGACUGACGCUGAGGCGCGAGAGCGUGGGGAGCAAACAGG